GGAAAACUCCCCGCUGCUGCUCUCCUAGGUUAUUAGAAAUAAAUAAAUAUAUGCCAUCCGUGACCUAAAUUCGGAUUAUUUUUUUUUUUCCCCCAAAGAGGACCGCAUGGUGUGAAGGAAAUCCCAUGACACGGCAUUUUAAGAUGACUUCUCUCGGGUUUCUCUCAGCCCCUCAGCCGCCCGUCCCGCUGAGGGGGAUUGCUUUUCCAUAGCGGCCGACACCGUCAUGUCGGCCCCGCGCUCUCCUUCCCGCUGCUGGGCGGGAACGGCGGCUCGCGGGGAGGGCGGGAACGACAGGCCGGGCCGUCCCUGUCAGCAAGGCCUCUUUGAGGAGGUAUAGAAAAAAAAAAGUUAAGAGGGAACCUGAGACACACUGCUCAUUCUUGGGCCUAACACUGUUAUUCUUGAGGCCAGCUGUGGGGACUAUCACAGAGAGGCAAGCUGGCACCACAUAGGGACAUUCCAGCUAGCAGCCGCUGCUGUCCACGAAGGUGUAGGGUGUGGGAUGGCCAGAGAACAUGCACCCGGUAAGUGUGGUACUCACCAGCUUCUUAGGUUGGAAAGGGAAAGUCACUAAUAAUUAGGUCCUGAUUUUAUUAGGAGAUCGUGCAACAUUGAGAGGUCUGCCU
rnacentral:lncRNA from 1 species